GAACCUGCUUCGGGAAGCCGCCCUCUGCCGCCACCUUCCUGUGCAUCGGUUCCCCCCUCCCCGCGGAAAUGGUGUUGCUCUCUCCGGUUGCAGCUGGGGGAUGCUUGACUGUGAUCUUUACCUUUAUAAUGUCGUAAAUUCAGCCCCCCCCCCAGAAGAACCAACUGGUGUUUGCUCCAGUGGGGGCAAGAGGGGGAAAUGAAAGUGGCCAGUACUUCUCUGAAUGUAUUUUAAUCACUGUCUAUUUGGUAAUGGGAGGAAGAGAUUUCAAAUAGUGCAGUUGUGGUAGAAGCAGCUGCUGAUUUCAUAUGAUCUGGGUUUGGUUGGUUUCCUGGGGAGGGUGGAAACCGAGACUGGUAAUUCUACUAAAUAGUGGAUUUUUUUUUUAGGAAACUGUGAAUUACAUUCCAGCAAAGUGUUUCGAACACCUUAAAUAUUUAAUAUAGCAAAUGAGAAUACCCUCCCCUUCUUUGAUGGAAGAAAUCUGAAUUCCCUCUUCCUCCUCAGCAAAAGGCCCUUGAUAUCUCACCAGUGCAGUACAAAACCCUGAUUUCAUUCCUCGGGAGUGGAUUGCUUUAUUGAAAUAAUGUUGUCUGCAGUUGUAAGAUGUACUAUGGUGAGACACUUUGAUGAGGGAUUAUAAACUUCCACCUUCUCCCCACUUCCGGGUGUCUCCUCAGCUGGUGUCUCCUCAGUUACUUAUAUUGCCUGCCAUUCAUGCUUUAGUUGAAUCAAUACCUUGAGAGCUCUCCAUGCUGGAGAAGGAAAACUGACAGACUGCUGCAGUCUUCUGCCAGUGCCGAUCAGUCCGUGGAGGUGUGUUGGCUGGAUGACCUAAAAUCACUUGCAGCUUCUUUCAGGAUUUACUGCGAGUUGCUGGUUCUCAGCUGAAGUACAUUUUUAUUUCCAAACUAGAUUAGCGAUACUUGCUGUGGAUUCCUCACCAGCCUGCGGCUUGUUCCUGCUCUGGCCCAAAAGAGCUCUGUUUGAACCUUGCAUUUUUUGACUGUGGUAUAAAGACACUUCUUAGGCUAGCAAUGGGUAAAAUUUAACUGGUGCUAGCCUUGAUUGAAUUACUAUUUCUAUGAUUGCAGAUUACAUAGAAUUUAGUAGUGUUAAAUAUGUUAAUCUUCCCUGAAAAGACGGAGCUUUGUGCUGAGGAUUUAGAUGCAGCUAGAGUAAAAUCUAUGUUUAUAUAUAUAUUAAAAAAAAAAAAAUCA